rnacentral:rRNA from 1 species
GACGAACGCUGGCGGCGUGCCUAACACAUGCAAGUCGAACGGACACUCGUUUAGAUUGACGGAGUUUGCGCCUGAUUGAUAAUCAUUUGAGUGUGUGGCGGACGCGUCAGUAAGACGUGGGUAACCUGCUCUAAACUGUAGGAUAUCAUUUGUAAACAGACGCUAAUACCGCAGAAAACCUACGACCGUAUGGUGUUGGGUUGAAAGCUGGUUGCGUCUAUCACUUUAGGAUGUACCCGCGGUGCAUUAGUUAGUUGGUGAGGUAAAGGCUCACCAAGACGGUGAUGCAUAGCCGACCUGAGAGGGUAACCGGCCACACUGGGACUGAGACACGGCCCAGACUCCUACGGGAGGCAGCAGUAGGGAAUCUUCCACAAUGGGCGAAAGUCUGAUGGAGCAACGCCGCGUGAGUGAAGAAGGUUUUCGGGUCGUAAAACUCUGUUGUUGGAGAAGAAUGUAUUUGAUAGUAACUGAUCAGGUAGUGACGGUAUCCAAACAGGAAGCAACGGCUAACUACGUG